CUUCCUCAAUCUUCGGAGAAUGCGGCGUUGUAUUAUUGUAAGUUCUCUGUUCCGAACAUUUCCUGAAAGUAGACGACAAGUUUUAAAUCGCAUAUCUCGUCGUCGUUGAAUCAGUCUGAUUCGCCACAUCGCGUAUAAAGGGAAUCGAACCCCCUCUGCUGCGAGUUCUCAUCUUUCCUAAGCUGGUUUAACAGCUUAAAAAGCCGGGAACGGGAAAGAGAUUACCGCUUUCGCCGGGCGAAAGGUUUCGCUGCCUUGGCACGGCAUGAGAGAUGUCUUGGAGGACAGAGAGAGGCUGCUUCCCUAGGGCUAGGGGGUAGUUAUUGAACUCUCGAUCCAAGAUCUCGAGCACGGAUCUGCUUACCUGGUCAAACUCAACACCAGUUUCACUGGCUUUCCUCUCUGACGAAGUAGAGUAAGGAUAGAAGUCCAAUAGCAACUGAUCAACGCUUUGAGCGCUUCUUCCUUUUUCUUCGGGGUCUCAGGCCUAGAGGAGCUCUAGACUCUAGUUAGUGAGUUGCC
rnacentral:lncRNA from 1 species